GACGAACGCUGGCGGCGUGCUUAACACAUGCAAGUCGAGCGGUAAGGCCCUUUCGGGGUACGACGAGCGGCGAACGGGUAGGAGUAACAACGUGGGUGGACCUCGCCCUCCAGCUCUGGGAGUAAAGACCUCGGGAAACCGGGGUACGUAAUAACUGGAGUAUGACUCCAUGACGCAUGUUGGUUGGGGUGGGAAAGACCUU
rnacentral:rRNA from 1 species